rnacentral:rRNA from 1 species
GAUCAUGGCUCAUGACGAACGCUGGCGGCGUGCUUAACACAUGCAAGUCGAGCGAUGAAGCUUCUUCGGAAGUGGAUUAGCGGCGGACGGGUGAGUAACACGUGGGUAACCUGCCUCAUAGAGGGGAAUAGCCUUCCGAAAGGAAGAUUAAUACCGCAUAAGAUUGUAAUAUCGCAUGAUAUAGCAAUUAAAGGAGUAAUCCGCUAUGAGAUGGACCCGCGUCGCAUUAGCUAGUUGGUGAGGUAACGGCUCACCAAGGCGACGAUGCGUAGCCGACCUGAGAGGGUGAUCGGCCACAUUGGGACUGAGACACGGCCCAGACUCCUACGGGAGGCAGCAGUGGGGAAUAUUGCACAAUGGGGGAAACCCUGAUGCAGCAAACCGCCGCGUGAGUGAUGACGGUCUUCGGAUUGUAAAGCUCUGUCUUCAGGGACGAUAAUGACGGUACCUGAGGAGGAAGCCACGGCUAACUACGUGCCAGCAGCAGC